CUUCCUCUGAAACUCACGUUGGCUCUCCUGCUGAACAUGGAGUCUCCGCACUCGAAUUACUUCUGUAUUCUUGGAUCUUGCUUCUCUGAAUGGAAAGAACACGCAGGCUAGUGCACGUGGCAGUAGACUGUCAACGAAAUGACAGCUGAACGCAUUGCUGGACGAAUUCUUUGAGAAUCUUUAAAACAACUCAAAUCAAAUAGACUGCUUCUGACAGACAUCCAUCAUUCAUGGGUGUGUGGUGAUGAGACUGGUCUGUUUUGUAUAACACUUGCUUCAAUCAACUGAAAUGGUGGUACACCUUGCACCGUUGUAGUGAGACUUGAUCAAGAGACAGAGAGGUUCAAAGGAAGAACGGCAAGUUGGUGCAGAGAAGAAUGUCCUUCAGGAAUCCCUUGUGGCUGUCACUGACUUGAUAUUUCUGACUUGAUAUUUUCAGACUGAUGUUUUCAGUAUGCUUUAUGUUGUAAUAUUUACACAUGACCUGUAAAAUAAAACUAAAAAGAGAAUCAACAUAAUUAAAUGGUCCUAUCUGUAUGACUGUAGAAAUACUGUGUGUCGUGUUGCAGAGCUGUGUGUACCAAGAAACCCAGUAAUGCUUUUUUCCUCUCUUGUCUUUGUGCCACUGGUCCACCUGUUGCAUGCUUUGGAUAAAAUGUUC